rnacentral:rRNA from 1 species
AGUGAACGCUGGCGGUAUGCCUAACACAUGCAAGUCGAGCGGCAAGACAGUAAGAUCUUGCUCUUACCGGUAGCGAGGGGCGGACGGGUGAGGAAUAGAUCGGAAUCUACUAUUUCUGGGAGGAUAACGGGGGGAAGGUGACACUAAUACCGAAUACGAUGUACGGCUGAAAGCAGGGGAUCUUCACACCUUUCGCGAUUCAAUGAGCCGAUGUCGGAUUAGCUAGUUGGCUGGGUAAGGGCUCACCAAGGCAACGAUCCGUAGCGGGUCUGAGAGGAUGAUCGGCCACACUGGAACUGAGACACGGUCCAGACUCCUACGGGAGGCAGCAGUGGGGAAUCUUGGACAAUGGGCGCAAGCCUGAUGCAGCCAUACCGCGUGGGUGAAGAAGGCCUUCGGGUUGUAAAGCCCUGUUGUUGGGAAAGAACAGCAGCAUAUUUAUCCACCGAUGUUUUGACGGUACCCAAAGAAUAAGCACCGGCUAACUUCGUG